CUCCCUCAAGACACGCCUCCCUUCCCCUUUCCUUCUUCCUCUUUCUUUCUUCUCCUUUCUUUCCUCUGUGCACUACCCUGGCCUGCUGCGCCAUUACCGACCACCCAAGCAAAUGAAGCCUGCCACCGCACCCAGUUGUUGCUGCUGCGUUCUGUCUCCAGUAUACCGCGCCCUUCCCAUGUCACCAUUGUCUUUUAACCCCUUUUAAUUCACCUUUUGAAGUACCAAAUGAAGAUGGAGCUUGAUCUUAUCACUUCUUAAGCCAAUAAUCAUUAACUUUUGAAAAGUCAAGUAUUAUCUUUUGGAGUUUGGAUAUCAUUUUCUUUUGGAUAAUUGAAGAUCUACUUCUUUGAAGCUUGGAGCCUUGAAGACUUUCUCUUUUGGAGCUUAUUUCUUUAAGUUCUUAUUUUCCUAUUAUUAUUCUCUUACUUAGUUUAGCACCACCUUUGGAGGAAAAUGGGAGAAUACUCCUUUAGUAUCCGUUAAACCAAUGCGUUAACACUAGAGCCACGAUCCUCGUUGGAGUUGAUGAUUUGAGGAGCCGACGAUGAUUCAUUCCGUCGUGAUAUAUUUUUGAAAUGCAUUAAAGCCUCAGAUUAGUUUAGUUAUGUUAUUCAUUUAUAUAUCCUUGUCACAUCCUCAGUUUUUAACCGAGAUGCUGCUGAAAUUUUCACACACUCACCUUUCUAAUUAAUUUUUAACGUUUAUUUAGAUUCUUUUCCCUUUCUUUUUAUGUAACGCUCGAAUUUCCUCCCUUCCAUUUAGGGGUGUUACAAUUAAUUUUCAUUAAAAUAAAUUUGUAAUCUAUACAAUAUACUAAUAAAGAUGGAUACAUGUCGACUUUAAAAUAAAAAUUUUUCCACUCUUUUCAUUUUCUUAGUAAGAGUCAUGCCGAAGGUCAAGAGUUAAGUUCGAAUUAUGAAUUUGGAACUUCGAAGUUGGUGAAAGGAGUUUUAAAGGAUACUAAAGUUAAUUUGGGAAAUUUUUUGUUUGAAUCUUGAUUGGUGGAUUUUUAUGUGAAAUAUUGUGUGAUUGUUUACAUGUCAUGUAUAAAAAUAAAAAAAGUUGUUUUUAAAAGAUCUCAAAAUUUCAACUUGAAAUAUAUAUAUACUCGAGUCAAUUAUUCUUGAAAUUGUAUUUUUACCAAAGAUAUUAUAUAUACUCGGAUAACUGGCAAAAGGAGUUGACGACCAAACUUAUCGAGAAUUGCGAUGAAGUUGUGCAAGAAUGAUUCGAUGCAAAGAGUUUAAAAGAAACAUUUUGGGAAUAUUGAAAGUUAUGCGUUAAUUGUGUGUUAAGAUUGAAAAUCUAUAAUGGAGUAAAGAAUGUAGAAAAUAUAUUUGUGACAUGUUCAAUUAUGGGAUGAGAAAUUAUAAUUAAAGGAAAGUUUCGAAAGGAAACAAAGGUUAAUGCAAUUAAUAGUAACUUAAAGUUAUGUUGUAGAAAGUUUGAUUGAAUGACCUAUACGUGUUGAGGAUAAUGUAAAAUUAUGAUUGAGAAAGCUUUCAACGGUUCUUAAUGAAUGAAUGAUAACUUUGGGACUCUAUAAAGGUUUUAUUGAUGGUAAAAUGUGAAUUAAGAAAAAAAAAGGAUCAAUUGAAAGUUUAAGUAAUACUUAAAUUGUGAGAGGUUUGACUUUGUAAGUGAGGAAAUGUUUGGUUAUUAAAGGUUAAAAAAAAAAUUGGGAUUGUAUGAAACUAUUAAUGGUAAAACAUGAGUAUAAUAGAAUAAUGGUUUAGAAAAAAAUACGAAUUUGAAUGUCUAAAGGUUAUUGAAGUUAUUUCGGAUGAAUUUGUUAUGAAAUUUGAAGCUUUAAGCGUUAAAUGAAGAUUAGGGUUAUAAAUGUUAUAAUUUGAAGUAAGUUGACAAUGAUCGAGUUAUGAGUUAUUAAAAGUUGAUGGAAAAAGUUUGUGGAUAUCUUUAAUGAAUAUGAGAUUCAAUAAAUGACUUAAGGUAUUCAUCUCAAAGUAUCUCGGGAGUUAUAAGAGAUUUUAAUUAAAAAUUUAAUUGUAAUUGGGAAACAACAAGUAAGUUGAUGAUUUAAUAUCUCAAACUAAGGAUAUAAAGAGGUUGAAAUGACCAAAUAUGUAAUUAAAGGUAUAAAAGAUUUUGAAGUAAGGUAGUUGAUUUAAAGUACAUGUGAACGUUCACAUAGUAAAUCGAGGUUGAAGUUUCAAAUUUAAAGGUUUGAAGUAAUUCAAUUGAGGUUAAUUGUGUUACCAAUAUGUAAUUCAUCUUAUAUGAUUGAAAAUUUAUAGAUAUAGUAUGUCUUGAAUCAAAGUUGGAGAGUAGCUAAAGUUUAUUUGGUGCUCAUUUCUCGAAAUUUGAGUGACAUGUUAUGACUAAGGAUGAUCAGAAGUGUACGUAUAAUUUCGAGGACGAAAUUAUUUUAAGUUGGGGAGAAUGAAAUAGACUACAUUUAAUAAAGUUUAAUUAUAAGUUUAUUAAGCUGAUUGGGGUUAUUAAGUAAGUUAAUUCGAGUAAUAAUAUUAUUACUUUGAUAAUAUUGACUCAAGUAUUUGAUUUGUUAACAUUUACAAGAAAGAGGUAUGUUUUAUUUAAUGUAUAAAAUUUGUAUAAAGAAUACUUUGAUAAAAGUGUAUUUGAUUAUAUUUUAUUUAUUGAUUACUAUCUUAUCUUUAUAAAAAUAAAUUUAAAUAAAGUAUUGAAAAAUAAAUUCCUAAAGCUAAAAAUGAACCCAUUCUUACCUCAAUCAAACUGACAUACCUCUUCCCUCACAUUGAAAACCCACGGUUUUCCCUUCCUUCUUUCCUCUUUCUCUCUCUUUUCCCUUCUUCCCCUGUGCGCCGCCCUGGCCUGCUGCUGCCACUAACCGACGCCGACCAACCGCACACGCAUCCACCGCUGCUGCAUCACUGUCUCCACGGCUGUCCCCACCUGUUGCCGUGAGUGCUGCCCCACCAGCAGCUGCGUCACAAGCUGUAUGGAAGCCAUUGUUGGGCUGCGUGGCUCCCCCACCACCACAACAACCACCUACAAUCUUACCUUAAGUUGUUGAGGGCCUAUCUCUUACAAGGGAUAGAUCCACUUUCAGGUUGCCAUCAUUAGUGCGGAUGGAUGUGCGGCUCAUUUAUGUGUCAUGUGUUGCGAUAGCGAGGACAUUGUUUCCGGAAGGUUAACUUAUAAUGAUAUUUUGACAAAUCAUGUUUUUUAAAAAAUAGAUAUUUUAUAAUGUAUUAACUUAGGUUAUAACUGAGUUGUAAGUAAUUGUAUUACAGUUAUGUAAUGUUUUUAAAUACUCUGAUAUUGGUUGCUGUGGCUAUCGAGCCACAGGUAGGAUUCAGCCCAGACUUCUAUAAGUCUUCCGCUGUGCUUUGUAGACUAUAUUAUUAUAUUGUUUACGCUGGUUUUGGCUGUUUCAUUAUAACACCAAAUAUACAAAAUCAACAAUGUAACAUGAUUUUUCUAUAUUACCUAUUGACAUUAUAAUUGAUAUGAUUAAUGUAUGUGUCCCAACAAAGUCGUCACAUCCUGCAUCUUCAAACCAAAAUCUAUAAACAAUAGUUGGUCUAAUGUGUGCUUCUUCAUAUGAUUAAUUGUAUCGAUCUUCUCUAUGAUUGAUACAUGCCUUUCAGAUCGAUGUAGGUGCUGCCAUUCAACCCUUGUUAACUCAUGUGUAUGCAAGAUUAUAUGCUAUUUAAUAUAAUAUACUCCACCCUCAUUGUCUAACUUUAUUCUUAUCCUUGCCUUUCAAUGAGAUCUCGUUGUUGGUAUAAGUUUUUUUUUUUUUUUUUUUUGGCUUGUUAGAAUAUUCUUGUUGUUGGCUCGAAGGAUUUAUAUGAUGUAUCUUUCUUUCACACGAAAUACUAAUUACUUCUCCACUCUAUUUUUGGUUGUUCUUUGAAACUAUUUUUUUUAUACUAAAACAUGUUACUCUUGUAUGUAUUUUUUUAUACUAAAACAUGUUACUCUUGUAUGUGAAAGGUAUAAUUAUUUAAAGUCUUGUAUAUUUUGAGCUGUAAUUCUUUCAAGCGAACCAAGAUAUUGACUUAUAUAACGUCGUUAUGCAUUUUGUUGCACUAGACAUCGUAUCAAUACUCGACAGUUGGUCAUUUUGAUCCCCUGUAUUAUAACAUAUUUUAGUUAGGUUUUUACAAAUUUUAAUAUUUGGUUUUAUAACAUACCUAUUAUAAAGUUAUAUUACUGACUGUUAAGAUUAUUUAUAAUGCCGAAUUCGUGUGUAUAUAUAUAAAGUAAAGAAAGAUUUUUUGUUUAGUUAACAUAUAUACAAAAAAGGACAUUAUGUUAUAAAUUAAAAUCAUUCUUCAAAUUUAUGCCAUAUUAUCUUUUCCGUGUAACAUAGUGAAUUUUACAAUUAUGUGUUGUUGGCUUAAUCGUGUCCUUAGAUUUUUUUUAUCUUAUUGAAAUCAAGAGUGUAGAAAUACAGCUCAAAACAUACAAGACCUUGAACAAUUAUACCUUUCACAAGCAAAAGUAAUCUUUUAGUAUAAAAAAAUAGACUCAAAAAACAAUUAAAUAAAGAGUCAUAGAAAAAUACUUAGUAUGUUAUGUGAAGGGCACACACAUCAUAUAGAUCCUUCGAGCCAACAACAAACACAUUAUAACAAGCCAUAAAAAGAUGAAACUUAUACCAACAACGAGAUGUGACUGUAAGACAAAGAUAAAAAUAAUGUUAGACAAUGAGACUGGACUAUAUUGUAUACACAUGAGUUAACAAGGGUUGAAUGGCAGCACCUACAUCGAUCUAAAAGGCAUGUAUGAAUCAUAUAGACAAUGGAUACAAUUAAUUUAUUUGAAGAAGCAAACAUUAGACCAACUAUUUGCUUAUAGAUUUUGGUCUCAAGAUGCAGGAGGUGAUGAGUUUGUUGGUACAUAAAUUAUCGGAUCAUAUCAAU